CCGACUCAGCCUACCCUCUCCCCGAACACUCUCCACACUCUGCUGGCAUCUCAUUCCAGCUUCCAGACUCGGCUUUCUCUCUCUCUAAUCGUAAGUCACCGCCACUUGUGGAGAGCUCAUGGCAAUAUUUUGCAACAGCCUUAAGAGUCGGCUGUCUUCUUCAUCCCUGCUUUCCAGAUGGGGAAACUGAGGCUCAGAGAGGGGCAGCUGCUGGCCUCUGCCAACAGCCAGUAAGGGAGUGGCCAGGACACCGCGCCGGCUCUGCCGGGGACAGCGUCCACAGAAGGCCUGGGGGCAGGCCACAGGGGUUGUAUCCAGGUGAAGGUCAGGCCUCCCAAAACGCCCCGUCUGGCCCCUUCUCUCCUCCCCCACGCUCGGCCCUGCAAAUUGGCUUUGACCUUUCUCGCCCCUGCCUUUGAGCUUCUCCGCAUUCAACGGGAAACCACAAAGGGAGAAAGAGGGCGGGCUCGAGGGAGGGGCUCUUCCCGCCCGGGCCCCGGGGCCACGCCCCCGCAGGCACACGAGGCCUCCAGGAUCUGUUUGCACAGUUGGGGCGCUUGCCUCCGCACCCCACCUCCGGAAGAAAAGCACCACGAGGUCAUCUGUUUACUCUGGGAUUAGCGGCUCCCAGCGGGAGCUCUUUUCCUCGGAGAUGAAAAGAAAGCGGACAAUCUGUCAGGUUGCCUUAGGGAUCUGUUUUUAAUUGGAUUCAACUGGAUAAACGUGGUCCAAAGACUUUUCUGUGACGUGGAUCCACCUGGACCCUGCUCCCACAUUGGUGCCUACCACGUUACGAGGCAGCUAAUUCCAUCGGCCGAUAUUUCUGACUUCUAGAAAGUGCUGCACCUAACCAGACAUUUGCCCGUCUUCCUGUAGCUUCUACCUGUGAGCCAUAUUCUGGCCACCCAGCGCUGUGCGUCCCCUGUGCGUGCGGGAGGUGGGAGGGAAGGGUCCGGUCAGACCAACUGGGGUUUGCGUGCCAGUAUCUCCACUUACCAGCUGAGUGACCCUGCCCACGUGAUUUAACCUUCCUGUGCCUCAGUUCCCUCAUCUGUAAAGUGGGGUAGGAGUCACUGCAGAGGACUGUUAUGGGACACGGCUGAGAUGACAGGAAAGCUUUUAGCUCAGGGCCCAGCACCACAGUAAUUAUUUGCCAUUACGACUGUUAUUUCUUCAUUCGUAUCUGCAGCGCCUUGAAAAUAACUGAGGGCUCCCCUCAUAACACCCUCACCUCGCUACCGACUCGUCUUCCUCAGACCGAACAUACACAGCCCUUCCACACGGUUGUCACCCCGUGGCUGGGUCUUAGACUCCGACACCCAGGCCAGCUUCACCCAAAUCCCCAAAUGGGAAAACUUGGAGAAGGAGCAGGCCUCUUCUGAUUUUUAAAGACUAACCAGUAGAAAUGGGAGAAGCUUGAGCACAGCAAAGGGUAAAACCAGAACCAGUAAUUACGCAUCCCAGGGAGGCCGAGCUCAGCUCAGAAUAAUGAACUGUUGUCCUUGCUGAGACUAGAGCUGUCCAAAGGUGGGAAGAGCUGUCUCUGGGCCAUUCUGGGGAGCCACUCUGGGGAGUGGGCUCCCCAUCCCUGGGGGUAUUCAAGGUGGAUGACCAUCUAUCAGAGAUGCUGUAGAAGAGAUUCCCGCGCUGAGUGGGAAAUUGAAGUAAAUGACAUCAAAUAUAAGUUCAUCACGAUGAAGAAACAAGAAAUGCCUCCUUUAUUCGUUCAGCCAGUGUGGACUGCUGAGCACCUAGCUAUGACUACCUCUGUGCUGGCUACUCUCCUGGGUGCACAGUUCACACUAAGAGAAGGACCUUAAAUCGGGAAGUACUUCAUGAAAACAGGGUUACUUUGAAGGUGCUCCUCGCCUCCACUUUCGCAUCUGUAAAAUGGGUGGGGCUGUAACAGCGCUUACCUCCCAGGCCCAGCCUCCAGAAACCCUAGUGGCCUGGAACGGUCCUCGUUGUUAGUAUCGUCAGGAUGCUGACUGCUCCCCAAAUCCAGGGAAUGUUUUCCUUUUUUUCACAGAAGACUCAAACCGUUCGGUAUGUGUUAAAUCAGGUCCCAAAAAUCCGGCCCAGCCAAGAGCCUCACCCAGGGCAGCCGGGACUGGCUGGGACUGGAACUGGAGAACGACAUCACACCAGUUCUUGGACCACAUCCAAAGCCAGCCGCGCGGCAGAGACAUGAGGUUUGCUGAACGUACGUUAUUUGCUACCAUCAUUUCUCAGGAAUGGUAUCCAAGGGCCAAACAAAGCCAUUUUUCUCUGAAGCGGCUUAAUUGCUUUGUAGGGGAAAGGGUGGUUCUAACUCUGAAUCCAACUGGGCACUUCAAACUCAUAAGCCCCUCAGAAAAUCUGAUGUCAGCUGAUUGCUUGCUCCUUCUUCCUCGUAUUGCAGGUCACGUGGUCCUCACCUGCUGCCUGAACUGGGCCCAAUAGGGGUCACAGCCAAGAGGACUUAGAUCAGAUCUGGCUCUGCGUGUGGUCCUUGGGGUCAGAUAAUGGGCUGGCACUCAGACUUCUGGUGAGGUUUUGGGUCCUUCUAAGACAAGGCCAGAAGAGCUUGGGCUCCAAAGUCAGGCCACUGGGCUCCUGGUCCUGGCCCUGCCACUCACCACCUGCGUGACCUUAUGCAGAUUACUUAACUUCCCCAAGCCUCUGUUUCCUCGUCUGUGAAUUGGCACCAAUAAGUCCUACCUUUGAAGAACUGGGAAGACUCAGUGAGACCACCCCGAAGGCCCGGAGCACAGAAGACCCACAGAACUGCCACUCCCCUUCCCAGAGCUUCGUAAAGCAGUGCUGUGCUUUCCACCUGCUGGAAGCUGUUAUGUGUGUGUCGGGAAAUGCGGAAGCAUGAACACACCCCAAGAGGACCCAGGAGAAAGGAGCAGGACCGAACUGAAGGCUAGAGCCUGGGGAAGCCGGUUUUGGGGGAAGGAGGAAGAAGGAGCUUCGCUGCUGUGCACUUGACCUUUUAAGAGUUUUUAAGAACCUUCCAGAGACUGCAGGGGGAGAAUCUGAACUCUUGCCUGAGGAGAAGGCUCAGAAUGAGUGGCCAAAAGAGUGGGCAAGUGAAUCACCGAAGAUGUAUGCCACCGAGGAUGGGCAGAGACGGCCUGGGAGACCCAGCAAGGUUUGGGGCCCUACAUGAGGACUGAUCAGGACCAACUGUGAUCAGCUCAGAGGUUCACUGUAAACAAGGGAGCCCCAGUCCAUGCCCCUGGGAGCUUGGGACUCCGAGGCGAAUUCCGUAGUCCGUCCUUGGUGAGUACCAGCAUUACCUGGAGAACCAGUACAAAUACAGCAGACCAAGCCUCCUGCUUCUGGAAAGAUGGGAGUAGAUGCACUUUCCCCUGUUUCACCUUCUAAGUACAACUAAAAACCUUGAACAUCACAUAUAAAACAAACAGAAGAGGACUCUGAAAAGUGGAGAGAAGGCCCACUGGCUAGGGGAUUGGGACCCGAAGAGCCACACAGUGGUGAAUUGGCUGCGUUUUAUUUUUUUUAAUUUUUCUUUUGCUUCAUAUACACCAGAUUUGGACCAAAAGAGUGAACAACCCAGAAACACCAACAGACACGAACAAACAAAAAAUUGUCCCCACAAAAGCCUGCUCUCUGUAACCACAAGACCAAGAAAGGGGCAGUCUGUCAAGACAAAACCUUUUUUUUUUUUUUUUAAACUGCGGUAAAAUCUACAUAACCAAAAAUUUACCUCCUUAACCAUUUUUUUACAGUUUGAUGGCAUGAAGCAUGUUCUCACUGCUGGGCAAACCCUACUGCCAUCUUUCCCCAGAGCUCUUUUCAUCUUGCAAAACUGGAACGCUGUCCCCACUAAACCACUCUUCAUUCCUGCUGCCCUCAGCCCUGACCACUAUCAUCCCAUGUUCUGUCUCUCUGAAUUUGACAGCUGUAGGGAUCUCGCAUAAAUGGAAUCAUACGGUA